AUGAUGCAGUCGCACAUGCCGUCGCCGGCGAGGCUGGGGGUGACCGCCUCGUCGCCGUCGCUCCCGCCCAACCAGUCUCCCGCGAACCCCACCUCCUCGCCGCCGCAGCAGGCCAACCCGCCGCCCGCGAGCGCGGCCGCGUCCGCGGCCGGAGCCGCGGUCCCAACCCUAACCACCUCGCCGGCGCUGCUCCCGCUCCUGCCGCCGCUCCCGCGCGCGCAGUCGCUGCUCCACCUCAUCUCAUCCCUCGCCUCCAACCUCUUCGAGCUCGCGCCCAACCGCGCCGCCUGGAUCUCGUCGUAUCGGGGCUCGCUCCCCAACUUCCUCGCGUCGUCGUCGGCGUCCGCGGCGCCUACGCCGCUGCCGGCCCCGGUCUCCACCACCAAGGAGGCCAUGUCGAUGCUCACCUCCCUCCAGACGCAGCUCUUCGAGACCGUCGCCGAGCUGCAGGAGACCCUCGACCUGCAGGACGCGCGCGCCAAGCUCGCUCGCGAGGCGCGCGCCAAGGACGCUUCGCUGCUCGCCUUCGCGAAGAAGCUGCGUGAGGCCCACCACGUGCUCGACCGCCUCGUCGACGACUACGCCGACUACCGCCGCGAUCCCAAGCGCCCGCGCGGCGCUGCCGCUGUCGACGAGCCCGAGCCGGUGUCGCACGGCGACUUCGGCGCGUCCCUCCACUCCAAGCUCAAGCUGGACGACAUCUUGACCUAUGCGCAUCGCAUAAGCUACACGACCUUUGCGCCGCCGGAGCAUGGUGCUGGGCUGCCUCUGAGGGGUGCAUUGCCGCCUGCACCACAGGAUAACGAGCUGCGGAUGUCGCAGCUGUAUCAGUUUGCUGAUUUGGAUGUUGGGGUGCCCAAGAAACCCCUGGAAACAGAGGGGGUCACAGCAGAGAUGGAGUCCAUGCCGCUAUUCGAGCUACCGGUGGAAGAGCCUCCACGGCCAUCUAUGCUACCAAUCACAGUGCCACCAGGUUGGCAGAAAGGUUUGCCUGCUCUGCUUCCUGAUAUUCCAGUGCCGCCACCUGGAUGGAAGCCUGGGGACCCGAUCGAGCUUGGUGGCAUCAUUCCUGCUGUCAAGCCUGAGGAACAACGACCCAGUGUACCGAUUCCUGUUGGGGUGCAGCCAAUGGUGCCAAGGGCCCAAGAGCCAAUACAGGUCGCAGCUGUGAACCUUGACAUUAUCAGUUCUAGCAGCGAUGAGUACAGUAGCGACGUCGGGAGCUCAGAUGAAGACGAUGAGGACUAA
rnacentral:rRNA from 1 species